rnacentral:rRNA from 1 species
CACAAGGCUCUUUGCUCUGGAAUUGGUAAGAACGCCUGAUCUCGUCUGAUCUCAGAAGCUAAGCAGGGUCGGGCCCGGUUAGUACUUGGAUGGGAGACCGCCUGGGAAUACCGGGUGUUGAGU